UACGUAGGGGGCAAGCGUUAUCCGGAUUUACUGGGUGUAAAGGGAGCGCAGACGGCAGUGCAAGUCUGGAGUGAAAGCCCGGGGCCCAACCCCGGGACUGCUCUGGAAACUGUACGGCUAGAGUACGGGAGGGGCAGGCGGAAUUCCUAGUGUAGCGGUGAAAUGCGUAGAUAUCAGGAGGAACACCGGUGGCGAAGGCGGCCUGCUGGACUGCAACUGACGUUGAGGCCCGAAAGCGUGGGGAGCAAACAGG
rnacentral:rRNA from 1 species